CACGUGCUGGCCGAGGCGCCGUGCGACGUGCUGCUGUCGCCGGCGCGGGCCGACGGGGGUAGAGGCCGGUGAUCCAGCCCGCGGCGCCUGCC
rnacentral:tRNA from 1 species